UUUGCUGACAAUCUGAUUGCAUUGCAGGUUUGGUACAAAUUUCUCAAAAAAAAUCAUGCUUUUGCAGCACCGUCCUGUUGAGCCAUGAGAUCUAAACCAAGGAAUCCAGAUAACAUCGACUAUGUUUAUAGAUCACUACAUGUUCCGUUGGAACAUUGUGAGGUCCUUUUUCCAGUUUGCUACUAAAUUCUCAAAAAAGAAACGUUCUUAUGCAUCACCAUCAUGUGGAACCACGAUACCUGAACCAAUGAACUCAGUGAACAUUUAUUAUAUUUAUUAUGGAUCAUUACAUGUUCUGCUGGAACAAGUUGUUGCAGCGGCACAAACUCGGUUGCGUCCGCUAUGACCCCAAUCUUCGGAUUAUUAUAAGUAGAGGUUGAUCGUGUAGGAGGUGAAGAUGCUCACGCCUAAAGCCAAACUUGACGCCGUCGACGCCACCAUCCGGGAGCUCAUUUAUAUUGGCUUCGAAUGGCUACCGUUGUAUUUUCUGUACUUUUGGUUGUGGUCGUAAUUGUUACCCUGUGCCUUUGCAAGAAUAACUGAAAAUGGUGAUUUCUAUUGACUGGAAACCGAGUACUUGUCUAAUUAUUGUUCAAGAAAAUAUAGUGAGUCGUGUUCUUGGUUGCUAAUAGUAUAGUACACCUAUGCGGAUCCUUCUGUCGGACCGUUGAAUGGAAAUAACUCAAAAGAAGAUAAUAGAGGUGUUGUCUCUAUGCAAUCGGUAACUGUCAGUUCAGUUACAAAGAACGACCAUCACAAAUAACUUUGAGAUGUCCAUUGGUAAAGGUCAGUUUGGAGUAGUCUAUUUUGGCUACUUGAAAGAUGGAACCCCAGUUGCAGUCAAAACACGCUUAGAAUCAUCAUCUCAUGGGGUUAAUGAGUUCUUGGCAGAGGCUCUACAUCUAAUAAGAGUUCAUCACAGGAACUUGGUCAAUCUGGUUAGCCACUACAAGGAUGGACACCACUCAACUCUUGUCUACGAGUAUAAAUUGCUAAUUUGCAUUGCUCUUUCGUGCAACAAGUGCGUUGAUACUUACAAACAACGAGGCAUGUGACUAUUUACUAUCACUGUUGUUUGGUAUUUGAACAUGUCUUUUCGAGGGGGAGAUGGGAACAGAUAGACUCAGUGAAAGUUGGCUGCACGUAAACUAUUGUGAUCAAGUUGGAAAAAAAUGUUUCCCCUCUUAACUGCUCCUGUUGGAGACUGGGGUCAGUAGUCACUGAAAUUUGCACACGCAUGGAGGAAUGAAUGAUGAUUCUCAAGUAACGAAGUUGUAGCCUUCACGACAAGAUAAAUGGAUGAUUUUGCAGCUC